UACGUAGGGGGCUAGCGUUGUCCGGAAUCAUUGGGCGUAAAGCGCGUGUAGGCGGUCCGGUAAGUCCGCUGUGAAAGUCGGGGGCUCAACCCUCGAAUGCCGGUGGAUACUGUCGGGCUAGAGUGCGGAAGAGGCGACUGGAAUUCCUGGUGUAGCGGUGAAAUGCGCAGAUAUCAGGAGGAACACCGGUGGCGAAGGCGGGUCUCUGGGCCGAUACUGACGCUGGAGGAGCGAAAGCGUGGGGAGCGAACAGG
rnacentral:rRNA from 1 species